UCAGAGGCUCUACCUCUGUCUGGGUGGGGUGGUCGGGGUGCACUGUGAUGGAGAUAAGGUGGCGUGAUGGAGAUAAGGUGGCGUGAUGGAGAUAAGGUGGUGCUCAGUUUGGUGGAGGUGAGGUGGUGCUCAGUUUGGUGGAGGUGAGGUGGUGCUCAGUGUGAUGGAGAUGAGGUGGUGCUCAGUGUGAUGGAGAUGAGGUGGUGCUCAGUGUGAUGGAGAUAAGGUGUUGCUCAGUGGAAUGGAGAUAAGGUGGUGCUCAGUGUGAUGGCCUAAAAAAAAAAAAAAGUUUGGUUCCUGUUGGUUGUCAGUUGAGGUCAUGGGUAGGUAGGGAAUUUAUUUUAUUUUUUUAUUUUAUUUUUUCCAGCGGCAGCGAAUGAUAGGUAGGUUGUUUUCAUUUAAAAACGAGAGAAUGCGCUCAUCCUUGUACAGAAUGAAGAGGUGCCUUUACAAAAACGUAAUUAUAGUUUGCAUC